rnacentral:rRNA from 1 species
AGAGUUUGAUCCUGGCUCAGGAUGAACGCUGGCGGCGUGCUUAACACAUGCAAGUCGAGCGAGAAGCUUUGGAAAGCGACUUCGGUUAAUUGAAGAAGUGGAAAGCGGCGGACGGGUGAGUAACGCGUAGGCAACCUGCCCCAUACUAAGGGAUAGCUACUGGAAACGGUAAUUAAUACCUCAUAACACUUUGUAUACGCCUGUAUAUAAGGUCAAAGAUUUAUCGGUAUGGGAUGGGCCUGCGUCUGAUUAGUUAGUUGGUGAGGUAACGGCUCACCAAGGCGACGAUCAGUAGCCGACCUGAGAGGGUAAACGGCCACAUUGGAACUGAGACACGGUCCAAACUCCUACGGGAGGCAGCAGUGGGGAAUAUUGCACAAUGGGGGAAACCCUGAUGCAGCAACGCCGCGUGAGCGAAGAAGGCCUUUGGGUCGUAAAGCUCUGUCCUAAGGGAAGAAAGAAAUGACGGUACCUUAGGAGGAAGCCCCGGCUAACUACGUGCCAGCAGCCGCGGUAAUACGUAGGGGGCAAGCGUUAUCCGGAAUUAUUGGGCGUAAAGGGUACGUAGGCGGUUUUCUAAGCAUGGGGUGAAAGGCAAUAGCUUAACUAUUGUGAGCCCUGUGAACUGGGAGACUUGAGUGCAGGAGAGGAAAGCGGAAUUCCUAGUGUAGCGGUGAAAUGCGUAGAUAUUAGGAGGAACACCAGUGGCGAAGGCGGCUUUCUGGACUGUAACUGACGCUGAGGUACGAAAGCGUGGGGAGCAAACAGGAUUAGAUACCCUGGUAGUCCACGCUGUAAACGAUGAGCACUAGGUGUCGGGUGAGCGAUCAUUCGGUGCCGGAGUUAACGCAUUAAGUGCUCCGCCUGGGGAGUACGCACGCAAGUGUAAAACUCAAAGGAAUUGACGGGGACCCGCACAAGCAGCGGAGCAUGUGGUUUAAUUCGAAGCAACGCGAAGAACCUUACCAGGGCUUGACAUCCCUCUGACAGAUCGGUAACGCGAUUUUCCCUUCGGGGCAGAGGAGACAGGUGGUGCAUGGUUGUCGUCAGCUCGUGUCGUGAGAUGUUGGGUUAAGUCCCGCAACGAGCGCAACCCUUGUCAUUAGUUGCCAGCAUUUAAGGUGGGCACUCUAGUGAGACUGCCGGGGAUAACUCGGAGGAAGGUGGGGAUGACGUCAAAUCAUCAUGCCCCUUAUGUUCUGGGCUACACACGUGCUACAAUGGCAAGUACAAAGAGAAGCAAUACUGUGAAGUGGAGCAAAACUCAAAAACUUGUCUCAGUUCGGAUUGUAGGCUGAAACUCGCCUACAUGAAGCUGGAGUUGCUAGUAAUCGCGAAUCAGAAUGUCGCGGUGAAUACGUUCCCGGGUCUUGUACUCACCGCCCGUCA